AUGUUCAACAAGUGUUGGCUUCAUCCUUAAAUAGGGGCCACCUGAUUCACACCUGUUUCUUCACAAAAUUGAUGACCUCAGUGACUGAAUGCCACACUGCUAUUUUUUUGAACACACCCCUUUCAACUAAUUCAACUAAUUGCCCAAUUGCACAGCCUUAAGAGCGUGCAUAUCAUGAAUGCUGGGUCUCAUUUGUUUUCUGAGAAUCUACUGAACCUACUGGUAACUUGUUUGCCACGUAGCAAUAAAAAAAUAUACGAAAAACCUUGAUUAUUCUGGUUAGUCACAUUGUACUGCUAUUAUUUUGAACAAUACUGUAUAACUUAUCAGAGUGGGUGUUUCCUCAGAGACAAAGGAACUUUUUCCCGCUUCAGAUUGCGGACGUUCAUUGGAUGUGCACACAAACAGAGGUGUGAACCAGUCCAUCCAUAAGAAGAACUGACACAGGAAGUUCGCUCUCUUGCUCUUGUCUACCUUCUCCUCAUCUCUGCACUUCCGUCGGGUAGUUGAUCUCAGCACGGCGGCUGAGAGAACAGCCUGUUCUCAUGUGUCCUUCGGGAGCUUUCAUCUCCGUUGUUUUCGUUUCUUUUCCUUACUAAGUUUAUUCUCUUAUUCGCUUCUCCCCAUGAGGGAGAAGAACUCUGAAUCAUUGCAUUUGUUGGACCUUUCAUUCGCAGCAGCCCCGGAAGGCACGAGAGAACCCGCCCAGCUCCAAAAGAACAACAAACGCACGCUCAUCUGGCGAGUCACAAAAGAGACCCCUUGCAAUUAUCAUUCUCUAUGGAGAUUUAAAUGCUGCUUAAAGUUUGUCUAUUACCUUUUCAAGUCUCUCUGUCUCUUUUGGCAACACAGAUUCCCUUUACUGUCUCAGACUCGUCCAUGGUGCUCGCUGGAUCGGGUCCAGAUUGGAGAAGGAAGGGCGGGAAUCAUCCUUGUGAAUGAGGAUGGACGACACAGAUGGUGGAUUUGGAGCGUUGUGAAUUCAGAGAAGUGUGAUUUCCUUUUCCUGGCUGCAGAAGUAGCGGAGGAAAGAGGUAGGUAAUCCUGGCUCAGGAUGGAAGAGUUGGACCAGGAUGAAAGUAAAGACCUCAGCACAGAAGAAAGAAUGAAUGAGGCUUUACCACAAGGGUGACUUCUGGAUAAUGUCUGCUUGAGAAUCAAUGUGCAGAAGUGUUUGUCGGGGAGCCGGUGAUAUGAGAAGGCUUUGUUGAGAAGAAGUUGACAUAAUCUUACUUAAAUGUUCUUGUAGGUUUCUGAAUAAACCAGUACAUUCUAAAUAUUCUUGCUGUGUUCAUAUUCACUCAUAAAAGCAGAAGUGAAUAAUUUUAAAUGCAAUAUUUAUUUUAGAUGAAUGUAUUAUUUAUGGGUGACCCCAAAUAGUAGUGGAUUAGAUGUUUCGAUUUGAGGAGCCUGAUUCGACCACCAAUCUCACAGUCAAAUAUUCGCAGGCUGUUAUGAUUAUGCCAUUUUGACUAUAUGUGAGUGCUCAAAUGUCUGAUUUCACAUAGAACUUGGCUUUCUCCCAAUAAGUUACAGUAAUAUGCAGCCUAUUGUGAUAAAGCCAAGAAUAAGAAUCUGAGUAUUAAGCUUCAAAUAAAUAUUUGAAAGUGGGUGAAUAAAUCCAACCACCCCUAUAGAUUUUUGUUUCACUUUCCAUAAUCCGUGACUGACAGAGGAGCAUCUUGGCGGCAGGGAUUUAAAACUUUACCAAGACUCAAACUGACACUGGAUUUUGGAUUUUUUUUUUUGUUUUGUUUUUUUUUUUUAGGUAGGGUACAAGUCAAUAAAUCAAUCAAUCACCUUUAUUUAUAUAGUGCUUUAAGCAAAAUACAUUGCGUCAAAGCACUGAACAACAUUCAUUUGGAAAACAUUGUGUCAAUAAUGCAAAAUGAUAGUUAAAGGCAGUUCAUUAUUGAAUUCAGUUAUGUCAUCCCUGUUCAGUUUAAAUAGUGUCUGUGCAUUUAUUUGCAAUCAAUCAAUACAAGUGAUUUCAAAACAUUUCAGCCGGUGUAUAUAUAUUGUGGAUAUAUUAUUUACCUGAUAUAAGAUGCAUUUGGUUUUGAGUCAAGCACUUCAUUGUAGUACUAUGGUGAUAUCUCUUCAGCGCGCAGCACGAGCAGGUCAAACAAAGCAGACAAUUUAUAAAUAUGACUGCGACUGUCACACACAUACCAUUAUAAUGAGAACAUCUUUUUAAUAAAACGCUGUGAAUUUUUAGAGGUUAGCUGCUGUGUUUCUGCACAUUGUUUCAUGAAGAACGUGAGAGCACUAUUGUAAAAAUUUUCACUUGUUAGGGUUUCGCUGACGUUUAGCCUGUGUGUUAACAUCAGUAAUUAUGACUGUCAAAUGUCUGACUAGACUCAAUGUGUUUUGCCCCGCCCCGAAACAUAUGAUUCUAUCAUCAGUCGAAUAUCAGAAAUAUUCUAAAAUUCCGAUUUGACUAUGAAAAUCCUUAGUCGGGGACACCCCUAGUAUUAUUUAUUGUAGACUGUCAAAUUCUUCAAAUGUUAUUGUCUGAAAGCUUGAAUGGGGAGAAAGCCAUCUGAAACAUUUAAUGCAGAUUACUAUGCAUAUCGAGAAGGAAAACAAAGCAUAAAAUAUGCUUAUGAAACAAUAGUCAAAGGUGUUGAAUAAUUUAUUAUUAAAACAUCAGACUUUGUAUGUAUCAAAAGCCUUUGUUAGAGCUUGUAGUGCCCAAAGGUCUUUAUCACUAAUGUCAGCCUUAACUGAAUUUCUGAAAUUAAAAUGGCAGGGGGUCAUUGUGUUCAGAGCAUAUAGUAAAAAUGUCUGUAGCUUUGUUUUCUCUGUCUUCUCAUUUUUAAUUUCCUUGACUUUAAAGCAUUUGUCUCAGACAAGUCUUGAUGGUAGAUUAAAUGAGUGUUGUAUACUUAGCUGGCAAAGAAAACUGUCAUGGCAUUGUUAAGAUGGCACAGCACCUGCUAAAUGAAAUGUCCAGUUCCGUGAUGAGAUCUACCAAAUAAUCUGAACACACAGUAAGUUAAACAUGCAUUGAAUUAGCCUUUUAGUUAAAGAGCCAGUGUCUUGACAUAUACUUUAUUUUCUCAAAGGUCAUGAGUAUCACAUCAAAGAUGGCAGCAAAACUUAAAUACAAAUAUUGACUGGACCUGACUGGUUGCAAUGUAUGGUCUUGAUUCACUGAAAAUAACUGGCUCAUAGAAGUAAUUCGUUUUGCAGUCAGACUUAACUCGAUUGUAGUGUCUGUACUGCUGUUGAUUCUGUAGCGGUGUUGCGAUACUAUUAAAUAAGUAGUUGAAGAAGCUCUGCCUAAGCAUUUUAGUGCUGUAUAUUCCAUCAACAUUGGUAAGAGAAUGCAUGUGUGAGAACCAUUAAAAGAACUGAAACUUGUUUAUUUAUUUAUUUAUGUAUUAUUAUUAUUAUUAUUAUGUUAUCCAGUUACAUUUUAAAAUGUUAUUCGGUUCAGGUAUUUAAAAAAAAUAAUAAACUCAAUAACUCUGUUCCCAACCCGUUAAAUGAAGUUUACAUAAUUCUUAAAACACUACAUAGUAAAUUUAAAAAAAUAAUAAUAAUAAAUAACCAUGCAUUAUGUUUAAACUCAGCAUUUUAAGCAUGAAGAGAAAAUAAUAGGGUAGGUUACUGUGAGAGGGAACUGAAUCGAAGGUUUGAGGGAAAAAGAGACUCUUGAUUGUGUUUAUCAGAUAUAUUGCUAGCAAUUGCUGCUAUUAACUUGUGUCAGCAUUCUCAUGUUGGACCAUGAAGGGCAACAUUAUCUUUUAUCCCCUGAUGGAAGGUGUGCUUCAUUACUUGUAGCCUAUGUUUUCAAUGUUUUCAUGCCCUGAGGUGUAUUCUUGGUAAUUGGGUGUAUAUUAAACUCUCUGCCCUUGAGUUUUGAACUCUAAACUUUUACAUUACUGAAGUCCAUCACAACUUUUGAUACCUUGUGCUUAGUAUGAAUAACCCACCAUGUGUGCAUUUAACUAGCCAAAGCAAAGCACUGGGCUAGAGGCCUGCAGUUAUGAGAAAACCCUUAAUUCCUCCAGACCUCAAACUGGCUGCAAGCAUCAGGGGUUUAAUGAGGCUAUAACCAGUAGUUGCAUCACCACCAUUUAUUUAAGAAGAUUCGGACGGGGUUUUAAGUCAAGUCAAGUCACCUUUAUUUAUAUAGCGCUUUAAACAAAAUACAUUGUGUCAAAGCAACUGAACAACAUUCAUUAGGAAAACAGUGUGUCAAUAAUGCAAAAUACAUCCCUUACUUCACUGUACCCAAGAAAGGUGGUGGGUUAUGACUGAUCUUGGAUCUGCAAGUUUUUAAUAAGGCCCUUUAUCGGCUACCGUUCAAGAUGUUGAUGAAGAAAAACGCAUCUUCGGGUGCAUUCAUCCCCAAGAUUAGUUUGCAGCAUUUGACCUGAAGGAUGAGUACUUUCAUGUAUCGUUCCUUCCGCACCACAGACCUUUUCUGCGAUUUGCAUUCGAAGGACGGGCAUAUCAGUACAAGGUCCUGCUCUGCAGGCUGUCCCUGUCUCUCCGUGUCUUCACGAAGGUUGCGAAGGGGGCUCUUGUUCCACUCAGAGAGCAGGGUGUUAACAUUCUCAACUAUCUAGAUGAUUGGCUGAUACUAGCACAAGCUAUGGAUCUGUUGUGCGAGCACAGGGAUUUGGCCUGAGGUGGAAGAUACACCAGCCAGUUGCCAAACCCUCAUCCCGUGGUCAGAUCUCGUGAUUCUCUGGGCAGGGGUGCCCCUAGAGCAGAUCUCCAUGCAUUUUGUGGUUUACACAGAUGCCUCCGCCACCGGCUGGGGGGCCACGUGCAAUGGGCAUGAAGUCUCAGGGGUUUGGACGGACCUGCAGCUGCAGUGGCACAUCAAUCGAGUUGUUAGCAGUGUACCUUUCACUUGAACUGUCUCAAAGGUCACUUACGAGGCAAGCAUAUGCUGGUUUGAAUGGACAACACAGCGACCAUUGCGUACAUCAACUGACAAGGUGGUCUGUGCUCCCGUCCCAGCUAGCCCCCCACCACCGCCUUUAGAGUCUGAAGAUUCUGAGGUCAUUUAGCGCCAUUCACAUUCCGGGCCUGCUCAACUGUACAGCCGACGAGAUGUCUUGAGCAAUGCUCCCAGGGGAAUGGCGACUACAUCCCCUGAUGGUCUAGCUGAUUUGGAGAUGGUUUAGAACCACUCAGGUAGGCCUGUUUGCUUCUCCAGAGACCUCUCACUGCAAGUUGUUCUACUCCCUGACCGAGGAAACUCUUGGCACGGACGCACUGGCACACAGCUGGUCGUGGGGCCUACGCAAGUAUGCGUUUCCCCCAGUGAGUCUUCUCGCACAGACACUGUGCAAAGACCGGGAGGACGAGGAGCAAAUCUUGCUAGUGGCACUGUAUUGGCCCACUCGGACCUGGUUCCCCGAACUAGUGAUCCUCGCAACAGCCCCUCGUUGGCAAGGGAGGAAGGAUCUACUGACUCAGAGACGGGGCACCGUUUGGCACCUGCAUCCAGACCUUUGAAAACUCCAUGUCUUUUUUAUCUUGAUUGGCAGCGCACAUUGUUCGGCAUUUAGCACUAAGCAAAACCAAGAUGCACCACCCACCAUGUGUGCAUUUAACUAGCCAAAGCAAAGCUCUGGGCUAUAGAGGCCUGCAGUUAUGAGAAAACCCUUAAUUCCUCCAGACCUCAAACUGGCUGCAAGCAUCAGGGGUUUAAUGAGGCUAUAACCAGUAGUUGCAUCACCACCAUUUAUUUAAGAAGAUUCGGACGGGGUUUUAAGUCAAGUCAAGUCACCUUUAUUUAUAUAGCGCUUUAAACAAAAUACAUUGUGUCAAAGCAACUGAACAACAUUCAUUAGGAAAACAGUGUGUCAAUAAUGCAAAAUACAUCCCUUACUUCACUGUACCCAAGAAAGGUGGUGGGUUAUGACUGAUCUUGGAUCUGCAAGUUUUUAAUAAGGCCC
rnacentral:lncRNA from 1 species